AUGAAGUCAUAUAUUCAACAAAUGACAUCAAAGUCUAACUCUUAUUUAAGGAUUAAUCGUCUAAGGAGGAAGAUGACUUCUGACAAGAGAUACUUUCUAAACACACCACCAUUUUUUAAUAGUAGUAGAUUUGAUAUUUUAAAAGGUAGGUUUAGAAUGUAUUUACAAAGCAUAAAUCAUGAAUUGUGGGAAAAAAUAGUCAAUGGCCCGUUUAUUCCAACUCAUCAAGUAAAUGAUGAAGCAGUAGAUAAACCCAAUUCUUUUUGGACCGAAGUGGAAAGGAGAAAGUUUAAGAUAAUUUUUAAAACCAAAAACUUUAUAAUAAUGUCUCUAGAUGAUAGUAAAAUUUUCAUGUUCAUCGUUGUAAAACUUCCAAGGAAAUGUUGGAUACUCUUGAAAUGA